rnacentral:lncRNA from 1 species
AACAAAACAUACUUUGAGGAUGGACAUGAGUCAAAGCUUCAUCAAUCGUUCAUGCUUGAUUUGUCGUCCCUAUUGACGCUCAUCUACAUAAACAGAAAGAAACAGAAGACUAAGUGAUGUUAAUCGAAAAUUAGGCAUUGAUAAACAUCCAAAAUCAAAAAGAAAGAAAAAAGCAUUGAUGAACAAAAGAAUUGGUCGAUAAAUAGAAAAGAAAUUUCGAAGUCGAAAUACAUAAAAUGGGUACGAG